AUCCCAAAAAGUGUCAGAAGUAGUUUGAUUCUUGGGAGAUCAAAGACAAUGUUGAUCUGCUUCGACAAGGCAGAAAGACACCUCCCUGAUCGUUGCUUAAGGCAAAUUGGCAUGCUUCAAGGAAUCCCAAAAGAUGUGGAUCAUUGGGAGAGAAAGAGCCGUGGAGUUGACAGUGGGAUAGACCUGUCGGGGAAAAUGGAAUCAGAGCUUAGUGAAUGGUCAGCCCGUAAACUCCACAUUGUGCAAGAUGAUGGUGGCG
rnacentral:misc_RNA from 1 species